AAUCAACGCUGGCAGCGUGCCUAACACAUGCAAGUCGAACGAGAAAGUGGAGCAAUCCAUGAGUAAAGUGGCGACCGGGUGAGUAACACGUGACCAAUCUGCCCUUGAGUGGGGGAUAACCUCGGGAAACCGGGGCUAAUACCGCAUAACAUCUUCGGCUCGGAAGAGCUGAAGAUCAAAGGAGCAAUUCGCUUAAGGAGGAGGUCGCGGCUGAUUAGCUAGUUGGCGGGGUAAUGGCCCACCAAGGCGAAGAUCGGUAGCCGGCCUGAGAGGGCGCACGGCCACACUGGAACUGAAACACGGUCCAGACUCCUACGGGAGGCAGCAGUGGGGAAUUUUGCGCAAUGGGGGAAACCCUGACGCAGCAACGCCGCGUGGAGGAUGAAGUCCCUUGGGACGUAAACUCCUUUCGACCGGGAAGAUGAUGACGGUACCGGUGGAAGAAGCCCCGGCUAACUUCGUGCCAGCCGCCGCAGUAAUAC
rnacentral:rRNA from 1 species